GACAGAGGGUGCAAACGUUGUUCGGAUUCAUUGGGCGUAAAGGGCGCGUAGGCGGCGGGGUAAGUCGGGUGUGAAAUCUCAGAGCUCAACUCUGAAAUGGCACUUGAUACUGCUCUGCUAGAGGACUGGAGAGGAGAUUGGAAUUCACGGUGUAGCAGUGAAAUGCGUAGGAUAUCGGUGAGGAAGACCGGUGGCGAAGGCGGAUCUCUGGACAGUUCCUGACGCUGAGGCGCG
rnacentral:rRNA from 1 species